UGCCGGGCCGACCUGUCAAUCACACGAGCGUCGCCCACUAUUCAUAUUCCUAAACUACUCCCUCCGCCAAACGCGCCCCACGCCUGCACUACUCCACCUUCUCCUCCCUCUCUCCCUCAUCUCGUCCUUUUCCCUUGGCGCGCACCCAUCGCGGUCGUCCCUCGCCGACCCAUCCGAAGCUCGCGUCGCGUCGACCGCUGAAGCUCCAUGUGUCGUCAUCCAUGCUCUCACUAUUGUUCAUCGUUGUGAGAGCGAGGUCACAAGAAACCUGAAGACCAACUUGGUGAAGUACUUGGAAUCUCAAGUCACAGGCAAGUCAAGUACACGUACCGCCAAGAUGAGGACCAUGAAGGAUGUCGCGAUGAGUUCGUGAGAGGUCUAGGCCAUUGUCUCCCAGUCAACUAUGGUUGCGGAGGAUCGUUGUCUUCGUAUAAUGUAAUUAUUUAGCUAUUUUGUACAGAACUUCUAUUAUAUAAUAAAGAUUUGACAUUCGUUUCUGUACCAUGAGUCAUCAUAUGUGUGAGACUUGAUCCUAGUACAUAUUUGAUUAGGCCACCAAAUCUAUUAUUUGGUAGAGCCAGCAAAUUAAGAUAGGUCAGGUUUCCAAGAUAGGAGAUUUGGCCAGCUAAGUUGUUGUAGGAGAGGUUGAGCUCCGUGCCACCAUAUGGUGGCGUCAAGGUGCACUUCACACUGUUCCACUGCAGAAGUGGGUGUUGUUGGUCCAACUGUUCAUGACUCCUUUUGGAUCAUUGGUGAUAUUGUUCUUGAAAUCGAGCAGAGAG